rnacentral:lncRNA from 1 species
AUUAGUUUCAAGAGAUAUGUUUAUUCUUGAGUUGAAACAAACUGUGUUGCUUGGGGUUGUAUUCUGUACCAGUCUUCAAAAUUGCCUUUGCUUUGUGUUGCUUUGAUUCAUAAAACAAGGAGAAAGAGAAUGCACGAUCCUUAUUUUGCAAUCCAACAAGGCUUUGAUUUGAUCCUAUCAUUUCGGUAAAAUACUGAAUCAUUUAUCUGAAUCAUUUGUGGCUCAUUCAACAAAGUGGACUAUGCUGUAGAUGGGUAACAAACAUUGUUAGUAGGCCUAGCAACCAAUACUGUUGUCUUUUCAUCGCGAUUUUACGAAGAGUGCGUCAAUGGUUUACAAGUGAAAUUUCUCGAAAUGGUCUUUUGUGAACAGAGUGAUUCUUCUAAAACAUAUAAAUAUUCGGAAUUCAUCUAGGGUUGUUGCUCUACGCUGUCCACAAUCAGUUUCAGUUGUCUUUUCUGAAGAAAAAGGCAUGAUGUUUUAUCAAAUAUGCUGCUCAUGACAUUGGCGUUAUGCUCGAACAUGAACACCACCUCUGUAGCACUGUUGGAGUCAUGGAUCAUUUCACGAAGCCCAAAUAUUCUUGCCACGUUCAGAACAAGUUUCUAUGGAACGGACCCUGAUCUUCGACACACUGCAAUUCAAUUCUUCACAAUAUGUUAUUCUAUGUUUUGAGCCAAUAAAAAAUCUCUUAAAAUAUCUGUAAAAAAUCUACCACAUGAAAAAUCGUUGAAAAAGUUG